GCGGUUGUGGCGGAAUGGCAGACGCGCUGUCUUCAGGUGGCAGUGAUCUUUCGAUCGUGUGGGUUCAAGUCCCACCAACCGCACCA
rnacentral:tRNA from 1 species